GGCGAGUGAAGCGGGAAGAGCUCAAAUUUGAAAUCUGGUGGCCUCAGGUCAUCCGAGUUGUAAUCUAUAGAAGUGUUUUCCGUGCUGGCUCAUGUACAAGUCCCUUGGAACAGGGCGUCAUAGAGGGUGAGAAUCCCGUCCUUGACAUGAACUACCAGUGCUCUGUGAUACAUUUUCAACGAGUCGAGUUGUUUGGGAAUGCAGCUCAAAAUGGGUGGUAAAUUCCAUCUAAAGCUAAAUAUUGGCGAGAGACCGAUAGCGAACAAGUACCGUGAGGGAAAGAUGAAAAGCACUUUGGAAAGAGAGUUAAACAGUAUGUGAAAUUGUUGAAAGGGAAACGAUUGAAGUCAGUCGUGCUCUUUGGAUUCAGCCGGUUCUGCCGGUGUACUUCCUUUGAGUGGGGUCAACAUCAGUUUUGAUCGCUGGAUAAAGGCUGGAGGAACGUAGUACCCUCGGGUAAACUUAUAGCCUCCUGUCACAUACAGUGGUUGGGACUGAGGAACGCAGCACGCCUUUAUGGCCGGGAUUCGUCCACGUACGUGCUUAGGAUGUUGACAUAAUGGCUUUAAACGACCCGU
rnacentral:rRNA from 1 species